CCAAUAGCGUAUAUUAAAGUUGUUGCAGUUAAAAAGCUCGUAGUUGAAUUUCGGGGUUAGUAGGUUGGUCAUGCCUCUGGUAUGCACUGGUCUCACUGAUUCCUCCUUCCUGAUGAGCCGUAAUGCCAUUAAUUUGGUGUUGCGGGGAAUCUGGACUGUUACUUUGACAAAAUUAGAGUGUUUAAAGCCAGCUAACGCUUGAAUACAUUAGCAUGGAAUAAUGAAAUAGGACGUUCGAUCCUAUUUUGUUGGUUUCUAGGAUUGACGUAAUGAUUAAUAGGGAUAGUUGGGGGCAUUAGUAUUCAAUUGUCAGAGGUGAAAUUCUUGGAUUUAUUGAAGACUAACUACUGCGAAAGCAUUUGCCAAGGAUGUUUUCAUUAAUCAAGAACGAAAGUUAGGGGAUCGAAGACGAUCAGAUACCGUCGUAGUCUUAACCAUAAACUAUGCCGACUAGGGAUCGGAUGAUGUUAAUUUUUUAAUGACUCAUUCGGCGCCUUACG
rnacentral:rRNA from 1 species